AUUGAACGCUAGCGGCAGGCUUAAUACAUGCAAGUCGAGGGGCAGCAUGAUUGUAGCAAUACAAUUGAUGGCGACCGGCAAACGGGUGCGGAACACGUACACAACCUUCCAAUAAGUGGGGAAUAGCCCAGAGAAAUUUGGAUUAAUACCCCGUAACAUAACGAUGUGGCAUCACAUUGUUAUUAUAGAUUUUUCGCUUAUUGAUGGGUGUGCGGCUGAUUAGAUAGUUGGCGGGGUAACGGCCCACCAAGUCUACGAUCAGUAGCUGAUGUGAGAGCAUGAUCAGCCACACGGGCACUGAGACACGGGCCCGACUCCUACGGGAGGCAGCAGUAAGGAAUAUUGGACAAUGGACGCAAGUCUGAUCCAGCCAUGCCGCGUGAAGGAUUAAGGUCCUCUGGAUUGUAAACUUCUUUUAUAAGGGACGAAAAAAGGCUUUUCUAAGUCGUCUGACGGUACCUUAUGAAUAAGCACCGGCUAACUCCGUGCCAGCCGCCGCGGUAAGAC
rnacentral:rRNA from 1 species